rnacentral:rRNA from 1 species
AUUGAACGCUGGCGGCAGGCCUAACACAUGCAAGUCGAGCGGAUGAAGGGAGCUUGCUCCUGGAUUCAGCGGCGGACGGGUGAGUAAUGCCUAGGAAUCUGCCUGGUAGUGGGGGAUAACGUCCGGAAACGGGCGCUAAUACCGCAUACGUCCUGAGGGAGAAAGUGGGGGAUCUUCGGACCUCACGCUAUCAGAUGAGCCUAGGUCGGAUUAGCUAGUUGGUGGGGUAAAGGCCUACCAAGGCGACGAUCCGUAACUGGUCUGAGAGGAUGAUCAGUCACACUGGAACUGAGACACGGUCAAGACUCCUAAGGGAGGCAGCAGUGGGGAAUAUUGGACAAUGGGCGAAAGCAUGAUACAGCCAGGCCGCGUGUGUGAAGAAGGUCUUCGGAUUGUAAAGCACUUUAAGUUGGGAGGAAGGGCAGUAAGUUAAUACCUUGCUGUUUUGACGUUAACAACAGAAUAAGCACCGGCUAACUUCGUG